UGCAAGUCGAACGGCAGCAUGAUCUAGCUUGCUAGAUUGAUGGCGAGUGGCGAACGGGUGAGUAAUACAUCGGAACGUGCCCUGUAGUGGGGGAUAACUAGUCGAAAGAUUAGCUAAUACCGCAUACGACCUGAGGGUGAAAGUGGGGGACCGCAAGGCCUCAUGCUAUAGGAGCGGCCGAUGUCUGAUUAGCUAGUUGGUGAGGUAAAGGCUCACCAAGGCGACGAUCAGUAGCUGGUCUGAGAGGACGAUCAGCCACACUGGGACUGAGACACGGCCCAGACUCCUACGGGAGGCAGCAGUGGGGAAUUUUGGACAAUGGGGGCAACCCUGAUCCAGCAAUGCCGCGUGUGUGAAGAAGGCCUUCGGGUUGUAAAGCACUUUUGUCCGGAAAGAAAUCGCACUUACUAAUAUUAGGUGUGGAUGACGGUACCGGAAGAAUAAGGACCGGCUAACUACGUGCCAGCAGCCGCGGUAAUACGUAGGGUCCAAGCGUUAAUCGGAAUUACUGGGCGUAAAGCGUGCGCAGGCGGUUGUGCAAGACCGAUGUGAAAUCCCCGGGCUUAACCUGGGAAUUGCAUUGGUGACUGCACGGCUAGAGUGUGUCAGAGGGGGGUAGAAUUCCACGUGUAGCAGUGAAAUGCGUAGAGAUGUGGAGGAAUACCGAUGGCGAA
rnacentral:rRNA from 1 species